CAGCAGGGGCUGCUGGCAACCCACAAAAGCGCCUCGCAGAGAAGGAGUCAACUUUGAACAGCUACCAAGCCUGCAGACUGCAAUGCCAGCUUUAGACACUAGCAAUCAAACAAAAGCUUUCCUGCUCCCUUCCUCUUCUUUCCUCAGCCUUCAAGAGGAGUGAGAAAACAAGAAACACAGAUCCAGGGUAGGAAAGAGCCAAGUGCAGCAGCUUUUAUCAGCCAUGGGCAUUGGCGCUCAGAUUGCAGCAUUCACAGAAAGAAGAUUCCUGGGUCCACAGCCAGGCAAGCACUCAGAGCUCUUCAAGAAAACCUCAGUCUUUCCAGAAGAAGCAUGAGAGGAAUCAGGCUCAUCUAACCCCUCUUCAAGGACCCAUCCUGUGAAACAUACUCCAAAUGGUGGAUUUCAAGACACCCUUCAUCAUUUCAUGCAAUUGGCAUCAGCUUUAGCAGGAGUCUGGAGAUUUUUGCUCCCAGAAAGCACUCAGAGCAGAGGAGGUGAGCCAAUCCCAGGGCCCAGGCAGAGGUUCACCAGUGGCCAUUCCACCACUCCCAGGGCAGAGGAGGUGAGCCAAUCCCACUGCCCAGGAAGAGGCUCUCUGGCUGCCAUUCUACCACUCCCAGGCAGAGGAGGUGAGCCAAUCCCAGCACCUAGGAGGAGGCUCCUCAGCUGCCAUUCCAUUGCUCCCAAGGCAGAGCAGGUGGGCUCACCAGCACACCGCCCUCCACCAUAGAAAUGAGAAGACAUGUAAAUGACCCUCAAAAACAGACUUCAAGAUCAACUACAGCAACCCCAAAGGGAAAUGAGCUGGAAAAACCUGAUACUCAACCAACUGGACUCCCUGAGCUGGCAACAAAAGAGGAUCUGGAAAAAACGAAAUCAGAAAUAAUUUCUCAGAUGACAGCAGAGAUUGUGCCCAUAGUGCAAGACAUGAUUAAUAAAUCUAGAGAGGACACAGAUAAAAAAAAAUAGAGGAGCUGAGGAACAUAAUGGAAUCCCAACAUAGGAAACAAAUGGAAUCCAUAAAACAGAUACAAACAGAUUUCCAAGAGAUUAAAAACUCCAUUGAAAGUCUACUCAACAAAAUGAACCAAUCUGAGGACAGAAUUUCAGAUGUAGAAGAUAAGAUUGCAAUUAGUGACCAGGAUAAGAAAAAUUGCUUUAAAAUUGUAAGGGACCAUGAGAAAUCAAUCCAGCAGCUGCUAGAAGAUGCAAAGAAGAAUAACAUAAGAUGGAUUGGAAUCAAUGAAGAAACAGAAGAGAGUAGAGAUGACAUAAAAAAAACUGUACACAGAAGUGAUGUCAGAAAACUUCCCAAGCAGGGGAAAAGAAACUGACAUACAGAUAAGUGAGGCAUAUAGGACUCCAACUAGCCUUGAUCAAAAAAAAAAAAAAAUCUACACAUAAGCAUAUAAUUGUUAGGAUUCCAGAAACACAACAGAAGAACAAAAUUUUACAAGCAGUGAGAGAAGAGAAACAAAUCACAUGCAAAGGAAAGCCCAUCAGAAUCACAGCAGACUUCUCAAUACAAACCCUCAAAUCAAGAAGCACUUGGGUGAUGUACUUCAAGCCCUAAAGGAAAACAGCCUCCAACCCAGAUUGAUGUACCCUGAAAAACUAUUUUUCAAAAUUGAUGGAGAAAUAAGACACUUUAAACAAAGAGUACCUUAGGAAUUUCAUGAAUAUGAAACCAGCACUCCAAAAAAUUUUACACAAAAUCCUAGGAAAAGACAAUGAGGAUCACAACAACAGGAAGCCCAGCAGAAUGAACACAUGGGUGUGACAAAUUAAACGCAAAGGGUGAGAAUCCAACAAAAAGAAAAUGUCAUGACAAGGCUUUUAAAACUUUUAACUUCACGUCCCUAAUGAGUGUAUAACACAAUCUUAUUAUUGUACUGAUUAGUAUUUUUCUGAUUCUAAUGCUGCACACAUUUCCUUGUGCUGUACUGGCUAUUUAUCAUCUUCUUGUGUCUACUUUUUAAUUGGGUUGUCUAUUAAUGAGCUGUAAGAGUUCUUUACAUAUUCUGGUCAUAGGUUAUAUGCAUUGUAAAUAUGGUUUGUUUAAGGACUACUUUUCAUUUUAACGAUGUCAUUUAAAAUUCUAAAUUUUGAUGGAAUCUCAUUUAUCAAUUUUUUUCUUUUAUACAUCAUGUUUUUUAUAUCCUAGGAAGUUCUUGCCUACCCUAAAUUCAUAAACAUUUUCCCUUAUAAUUUCUUCUUAAAGUUUUAUACUUUUAGG
ensembl:lncRNA